AAUGAACGCUGGCGGCGUGCUUAACACAUGCAAGUCGAACGAGAAGCCCUUCGGGGUGAGUAGAGUGGCGCACGGGUGAGUAACACGUGGGUAACCUACCUAUUGGUGGAGGAUAACCAGAAGAAAUUCUGGCUAAUACUGCAUAAGUUGGAAACAAGAAAGGAUGCUUCGGCAUUCGCCGAUAGAUGGGCCCGCGGGACAUUAGUUUGAUGGUGGGGUAAUGGCCUACCAUGGCUUCGAUGUCUAGCUGGUCUGAGAGGAUGAUCAGCCACACUGGAACUGAGACACGGUCCAG
rnacentral:rRNA from 1 species